CCCCAGCGCCACGAGUGGUUAUCACGAUUAUUGGGCCUAAAGCGUUCGUAGCCGGUUUGGUGCAUCUCUUGUGAAAUUGUUCGGCUUAACCGGACAGCGUGCAGGAGACACGGCCAAACUCGAUACCGGGAGGGGUUAGAAGUAUUCCAUGGGGACUGGUAAAAUGGGAUAAUCCAUGGAAGACUACCGAUGGCGAAGGCAUCUAACCAGAACGGAUCUGACGGUGAGGAACGAAAGCCAGGGGAGCGAACCGG
rnacentral:rRNA from 1 species